rnacentral:rRNA from 1 species
GACGAACGCUGGCGGCGUGCUUAACACAUGCAAGUCGAACGGAAAGGCCCUGCUUUUGUGGGGUGCUCGAGUGGCGAACGGGUGAGUAACACGUGAGUAACCUGCCCUUGACUUUGGGAUAACUUCAGGAAACUGGGGCUAAUACCGGAUAGGAGCUCCUGCUGCAUGGUGGGGGUUGGAAAGUUUCGGCGGUUGGGGAUGGACUCGCGGCUUAUCAGCUUGUUGGUGGGGUAGUGGCUUACCAAGGCUUUGACGGGUAGCCGGCCUGAGAGGGUGACCGGCCACAUUGGGACUGAAAUACGGCCCAGACUCCUCCGGGAGGCAGCGGUGGGGAAUAUUGCAUAAUGGGCGGAAGCCUGAUGCAGCACAGCCGCGUGCGGGAUGACGGCCUUCGGGUUGUAAACCGCUUUCGCCUGUGACGAAGCGUGAGUGACGGUAAUGGGUAAAGAAGCACCGGCUAACUACGUG